rnacentral:rRNA from 1 species
UACGGAGGGUGCAAGCGUUGUCCGGAAUCACUGGGCGUAAAGGGCGCGUAGGCGGCUCAUGAAGGCUGUGGUGAAAGUCCGGGGCUCAACCUCGGAUCGGCCGUGGCGACUCGUGGGCUGGAGCACUGUAGAGGCGGGUGGAAUUCCGGGUGUAGCGGUGGAAUGCGUAGAGAUCCGGAAGAACACCGGUGGCGAAGGCGGCCAUCUGGACGACUACUGACGCUGAGGCGCGAAAGCGUGGGGAUCAAACAGG